rnacentral:rRNA from 1 species
GAUGAACGCUGGCGGCGUGCCUAAUACAUGCAAGUCGAGCGAACGGACGAGAAGCUUGCUUCUCUGAUGUUAGCGGCGGACGGGUGAGUAACACGUGGAUAACCUACCUGUAAGACUGGGAUAACUUCGGGAAACCGUAGCUAAUACCGGAUAAUAUUUUGAACCGCAUGGUUCAAAAGUGAAAGACGGUCUUGCUGUCACUUAUAGAUGGAUCCGCGCUGCAUUAGCUAGUUGGUAAGGUAACGGCUUACCAAGGCAACGAUGCAUAGCCGACCUGAGAGGGUGAUCGGCCACACUGGAACUGAGACACGGUCCAGACUCCUACGGGAGGCAGCAGUAGGGAAUCUUCCGCAAUGGGCGAAAGCCUGACGGAGCAACGCCGCGUGAGUGAUGAAGGUCUUCGGAUCGUAAAACUCUGUUAUUAGGGAAGAACAUAUGUGUAAGUAACUGUGCACAUCUUGGCGGUACCUAAUCAGAAAGCCACGGCUAACUACGUG